GUAGGGUGCAAGCGUUAAUCGGAAUUACUGGGCGUAAAGCGUGCGCAGGCGGUUUUGUAAGUCUGAUGUGAAAUCCCCGGGCUCAACCUGGGAAUUGCAUUGGAGACUGCAAGGCUAGAAUCUGGCAGAGGGGGGUAGAAUUCCACGUGUAGCAGUGAAAUGCGUAGAUAUGUGGAGGAACACCGAUGGCGAAGGCAGCCCCCUGGGUCAAGAUUGACGCUCAUGCACGAAAGCGUGGGGAGCAAACAGGAUUAGAUACCCUGGUAGUCCACGCCCUAAACGAUGUCUACUAGUUGUCGGGUCUUAAUUGACUUGGUAACGCAGCUAACGCGUGAAGUAGACCGCCUGGGGAGU
rnacentral:rRNA from 1 species